UCCCCCUUAGCUCAGCGGUAGAGCGCUUCACUAGUAUUUGCAGUUCUGUACAAAGAACCAUAUGCUAUGAAGAGGUCAGUCGUUCAAGUCGGCUAGGGGGAA